UUAUUUUAAAAAAAUUGGGUGCCACAACUUGUGCCUAACGGAGGUUAUGUGUAAAUACACACUUGCAUUAAAAAUAAUAGUGUAUAGCGACACGUAUGAAUAAACUAUGGAGGGUAGAGGUACCUCUACUCUCCAUAGAAUAACGAACGACAGAUGAAAGUUAGGUUCGAAUAAACGUAGGAAUGAAUACCAUGAUGGAUGUAUAGUGUCUGUUCUGAUUAACAUUAUCUCUGAAUAACAAUCCUUUCAAUAAACCGAAGGUUUAGUUAAAGUGAGAUUUGUAAAAACGAAAGAAUGGAAAAUGAGACAUUUGUAUAAACGUAGAAACGAAUAAUGAUACGUUUCAUAUAAACGUGCACGAAGCCUAGAUAGAAGGAGAACGAUCGGCAUAGGCUUCUCGCCGUAUAUGCGUCCGUAAUAAUGAGGAGACAUCGGGUACAAUAUUUGUCCGCAAGGCAGCGGUAGUGUUAGAAAGUUCUGAUUUUUAGAACAUGUUUUAUUGUAAACAUUAGAUAGUGUUAUUGAAUGUGUUGUUGUCACAGUUAACAAAUAAGCGUUUUAUAAAAUUGAAAAUGGUUAAAAAUUGUGCUGUGGUGAAUUGUAAAAACAGUAAAAAUAAUAAAAAAUGUAAAAAAGAUUUACAACAGGAUAAAAACUCCUUAUUUAAGCUGCCAAAAGACCCUGAUAUUGUUAGACAAUGGAGUCAAAUUUUGGGACAAGAUUUUGUGUCAGAUUCGAAAGUUGACAUUUUUAUGUGAUUUGCAUUUUGAAGAAGAAUAUAUUCUUCGCAAAGAUAUUAUUAUUAUUCCUAAUCAAGAACCGUUUGUGUCUGAACGAUAGAAAAUAAUACUCAAACCUGGUGCCAUCCCAACAUUACAUAAAAAUAUCAGCUCAACAAUACCUAUUACAAAUAUUUCUGUAAAUGCCAAUACAAACGAAAAUGAUAUAUUACAUUCAAGUCAAAUAUUGCACGAUUAUGAAUGCAUAGAAGUCAACGAGGUUUUUGAUAACAAUUCAGUUGAACCUAAUAAUAUUGAACAAGUAUGACUAGAAUUAUUUAUAAUGUAAUGAAGUAUGGUAAUCGAUCGGGAAAUUAUAAAUUAUUGGAGCAAGUAUUCAAGUAUUGAAAUAUUUUCUAUGUAAAAUUAUAAAUCGGUGCUAAUAUUGAUAGUAUUCGUUGUUUUUUUUAACUUCCCGCUUAGAAAAUCGAUGAUUUUCAAAAAUUUCGGGAAGUUAUUGUUUUCACCCCGAUUUUCAAAAAUCGAGUUUUCAUCAGAUGUCGACGUUUUGAGGUCCUAGGAAGCUAUUCUGACUAUUUUUAGAAUGAUGUCCGAGUGUCUGUAUGUAUGUAUGUAUGUAUAUGUCUGUGUGUGUGUGUG